rnacentral:rRNA from 1 species
CAGUCGCCACGGGAAUACGAAGGGGGCUAGCGUUGUUCGGAAUUACUGGGCGUAAAGGGCGCGUAGGCGGCCAUUCAAGUUAGAUGUGAAAGCCCUGGGCUCAACCUAGGAAUUGCAUUUGAUACUGUUUGGCUUGAGUUCGGGAGAGGUGAGUGGAAUUCCCAGUGUAGAGGUGAAAUUCGUAGAUAUUGGGAAGAACACCAGUGGCGAAGGCGGCUCACUGGACCGACACUGACGCUGAGGCGCGAAAGCGUGGGGAGCAAACAGGAUUAGAUACCCCCGUAGUCCCUGUCUCUUAUAA